GAUGAACGCUGGCGGCGUGCCUAAUACAUGCAAGUCGAGCGAAUGGAUUAAGAGCUUGCUCUUAUGAAGUUAGCGGCGGACGGGUGAGUAACACGUGGGUAACCUGCCCAUAAGACUGGGAUAACUCCGGGAAACCGGGGCUAAUACCGGAUAACAUUUUGAACCGCAUGUUUCGAAAUUGAAAGGCGGCUUCGGCUGUCACUUAUGGAUGGACCCGCGCCGCAUUAGCUAGUUGGGGAGGUAACGGCUAACCAAGGCAACGAUGCGUAGCCGACCUGAGAGGGUGAUCGGCCACGCUGGGACUGAGACACGGCCCAGACUCCUACGGGAGGCAGCAGUAGGGAAUCCUCCGCAAUGGACGAAAGUCUGACGGAGCAACGCCGCGUGAGUGAUGAAGGCUUUCGGGUCGUAGAACUCUGUUGUUAGGGAAGAACAAGUGCUAGUUGAAUAAGCUGACACCUUGACGGUACCUAACCAGAAAGCCACGGCUAACUACGUGCCAGCCGCCGCCGUAA
rnacentral:rRNA from 1 species